GACGAACCGUGCGAACGUUGUUCGGAAUCACUGGGCUUAAAGGGCGCGUAGGCGGCUUGCCAAGUCGGGGGUGAAAUACUUCAGCUUAACUGGAGAAGUGCCUUCGAUACUGGCGGGCUUGAGGGAGGUAGGGGUCUUUGGAACUUCUGGUGGAGCGGUGAAAUGCGUUGAUAUCAGAAGGAACGCCGGUGGCGAAAGCGAAGGACUGGACCUCUUCUGACGCUGAGGCGGCGAAAGCGAUGGGGAGCAAACAGGGAUUAAGAAACCCCAG
rnacentral:rRNA from 1 species